rnacentral:rRNA from 1 species
UUGGAGGGCAAGUCUGGUGCCAGCAGCCGCGGUAAUUCCAGCUCCAAUAGCGUAUAUUAAAGUUGUUGCAGUUAAAAAGCUCGUAGUUGAAUUUCGGGAUCAAUUUAUCGGUCGUGCCUACGGUAUGAACUGGUACAAUUGGUUUCUCCCUUCUGACGAAGCAUGAUGUCAUUAAUUUGGUGUCGUGGGGAAUCAGGACUGUUACUUUGAAAAAAUUAGAGUGUUUAAAGCAAGCAUUAGCUUGAAUACAUUAGCAUGGAAUAAUGAAAUAGGACGUUUGAUCCUAUUUCGUUGGUUUCUAGGAUCGACGUAAUGAUUAAUAGGGAUAGUUGGGGGCAUUAGUAUUCAAUUGUCAGAGGUGAAAUUCUUGGAUUUAUUGAAGACUAACUACUGCGAAAGCAUUUGCCAAGGAUGUUUUCAUUAAUCAAGAACGAAAGUUAGGGGAUCGAAGACGAUCAGAUACCGUCGUAGUCUUAACCAUAAACUAUGCCGACUAGGGAUCGGAUGAUGUUAAUUUUUUAAUGACUCAUUCGGCGCCUUACGGGAAAC